UAUAAAUAGUAUACAGACAGUAUAAAUAUUAUAAUUUAUACUGUCUUUUAAAAUUGCUGGUCGCUGGUAAUUUUUUUAAGGAAACUGUAAUGUUCUCCCAUAGCACUGACGCAGAGUACUUGAAAGUAAAUUUUCCAAAAUUUGUUCUUAUUUUUGGCCGAUAAAAGUUGCAUGCCUUGCAUUGCAACUAUGAAUAUUUUUCACAGGCAUUAAAAAGUUAUGAUAUAAUGAGGGAACACUUGAAGGGUUGACAAACAAUUUAUGUGUUAAUAUAGCAGUUUUUAAUUUGACAAUAAUAAUAAUAAUAAUAUUUUAUUUUCACACAAAUUGUUACACUAUAUUGGUAAAGCCGAAGCCAUAGGCUUAUUUGGCAAAACUAUUUAAGAGUAUAGCUCGUGGUCAGUACAGAGAAUUAAGUAUGAAUUAUUCCAACUGAGUAUAUAAUAAAAAAAGAAAACUAAAAAACCCAACCGGAAAAAGCAUUUAAAUUAGUAUAGAUAAUUCAUGCUUUAUAGAAAGCAGUAUAUGCAGCAUAUAUACAGCCAAAUUUCAGUCCUUCUUUUUAUCCCAGAGCCAUUCCACAUGCACAUGUCAACCAUUCUGAAAAGUUAAAUAGUAGUUCUUUAGAAUACGUCUAAAAUUUUGAGUUGUCAAUGAUUGCCGAAUUAAAAGAGGGAUAGAAUUCCAAUUUUUCGGGCCUUGCGCACGAAUGGAAAAAGAAUAUUUAUGGGAAAUGAUAUGCAAAUCCUGUCUAUGCCUUGUAAAAUGAUCAUGGAUGUUAUAAUUGAACUCAAAUAAGCAAGAAAUGGGUGAAGGAAGGAGAUUGUUAAUGUGUCUAAAAAUAAAACACGAAAGUUGAAAUUCAUAAAUCUGAAAGACAGUGAGGAUAUUUAAUUCCUUAAAGGUGAUCUACAGUCCGUAUGUAAACAAAGCCUUUGUUUACAUUUUUGUGUCCAAAAUAUUGAGCUUUAUUCGACAACUAUUUAUAUUUUCAAGCUUCUAGAGUAUAAUAAAUGAUCAAGAAACAACAAUCAGGCUUUUCAAGAACUCAAAACAUAGUUAAACUGUUUGCAUCAUAAAAAGUGGGCUCAUUUGUGCACAUGCGCAGUCGGAC